rnacentral:lncRNA from 1 species
GAAAAGACAAACGAUAACUAAAAACAAUAAAUAGAUAUCUUAGGGGUUAACCUUCGCUAACACUUGAAAGAAGUCCCAGUGAACUACUCACAACUCUUUUGCUUAUCGGAAUCUGAAUCCUGGUUUUCGUGAUCUAAAAUAGUUAAUAAAAGGGUGAGUUACACUAAUACAGUAAAAAUAUCACACUAAUCACUAAUACAGAAAAUCGAAGGUUGGUAAAAAUAAAAAAAUAACUAAUGGAGCUCUUAAUGUAAGUAAAUAUCUUUAACAUUAAAACAUUUAUUUCAUACUAAUUGUUAUGAAUUUUCUAAAACCCACCUAUAAGACAAACGCCCAUAAAUGUUUUAAUGUUAAGGAUUAUGAAUUUUCUAAAACCCACCUAUAAGACAAACACCUAUAUGACAUUUAUAAUUUCAUAUACAAAUGAGUAAAAACAAUCACUUUUCCUUUUU